rnacentral:rRNA from 1 species
AUUGAACGCUGGCGGCAUGUCUAACACAUGCAAGUCGAGCGAUUCUCUUCGGAGAAGAGCGGCGGACGGGUGAGUAACGCGUGGGUAACCUGCCCUGUACACACGGAUAACAUACCGAAAGGUAUGCUAAUACGAGAUAAUAUACUUUUAUCGCAUGGUAGAAGUAUCAAAGCUUUUGCGGUACAGGAUGGACCCGCGUCUGAUUAGCUAGUUGGUAAGGUAACGGCUUACCAAGGCGACGAUCAGUAGCCGACCUGAGAGGGUGAUCGGCCACAUUGGAACUGAGACACGGUCCAAACUCCUGCGGGAGGCAGCAGUGGGGAAUAUUGCACAAUGGGCGAAAGCCUGAUGCAGCAACGCCGCGUGAGCGAUGAAGGCCUUAGGGUCGUAAAGCUCUGUCCUCAAGGAAGAUAAUGACGGUACUUGAGGAGGAAGCACCGGCUAACUACGUGCCAGCCGCCGCCGUAAUAC